UUUUCACACAGGAACCGAGCUCGCUCUCAACAGCUAUGAAAAACCCUCAUCAAUGGCGGUUCUAACCUCCGCUACUCAGAUCUCACUCCUUUUUAUCUAAAAAUUUCCGUUUCUAACAUGCGGUCAAAAGACAGAAUUUCAUACUUCUACGACGGGGAUGUUGGUAAUGUUUACUUUGGACCGAAUCAUCCAAUGAAGCCGCAUCGGUUAUGGACGAGGAAUCUAUAACAUGUCUCAUGGGAUUGGAAAGAAGGAAUGAGAAUACGAAUCAUGAAGCGUCUAAUUUGAAGGCGCAUGAACGGUUUUCUACUUUCGAAAUUUAUAUUCAUAUUUAGACCCUCAUGUUGUUUCAAGUUUCUGUUUUUAUAAAUCUUUAAUAAUUACUUGGUAACAGACAUGUUGCUAACAUUUGUGGUUUGAUAUUUUGAUAUCAGCUUUCAGCAAUCAAUUAUUUGUUUGCAUCUUGU
rnacentral:lncRNA from 1 species